CCCCACGCCGCGCGCGGUCCCCUACCGUCUCCCCACCGCUUGCCCGUUACCCGCCAGAACUCGCCUGGCGCGAUCCCUGUCCCCUUCCCGUCCCCUGCGCGGCCUGUCUCCACCCCUCGCUGCCCCCCUCCCCCCGACCCCAGCCCCUGCACGGCACCCCAAGGCCACCAGACGGGAACUCUAGGCCCUUCAGGACGGGUUUGCAGGGAGCUGGGCCCAGGGCUCGGGGGUCUGCUAGCGAGGACGCGUCUGGGUUCCCGGAGCUGCGCUCCGUGGGCACCGACCGGGCACUGCGCACGGACUGAGGGGACCCACGACGGGACAGGCGGUACCCGGACUCGCUCUCAAGUCGGGCUGUUGCUCCCCCAGCUCUCAGAUGCAGCCACUGAGACCCAGGGGUAGAGGGCAGGGCCCCAGUGCAUGGGGGCCUCGAAGCUCAGGCCCGUGCGCCCCGCCCUGCAGGAAGGAAGGGCAGGACUCUGCUGUGCCCAGCACCCGAGGCUGCUCGCAGGCACGGGCCGGAAACCGAGGCCCCCUCGCACACCCGGCCAGCCGGGGGGCGGGGUGGUGGUGGUGGUGGUGGUCCUGCGCCACGGUGCCACCUGUGCCCCUCCCCCGGCUCUGCGCCCCAGCUUCAUCUCCUCCACUCUCUUCCCUCCUCCUCCUUCCUUCCUUCCUUCCUCUCCCUCCGAUCCUGCAGCUCCCCCCACAGAGCCCUGAGGAAAAUGCGCUCACCACAGCCAUUGUCUGGCCCUGGACGAUUUCCUGCCGCUAAUCAAGACUGGGGCCUCCAUGGGGUGUCCGGCUGGUUUGGACUCCAGAGUGGCCUCCUCGCACAGACUGCAGGGAGGAGGUGUUGUGUGACCACAGGCAGAGGUGUCCCUCUCUGAGCCUCAGUGUCCUUGCCUGUAAGGUGGGGACCAUCCUGCCAGGCGUGGUGAUGUAUGCCUGUCAUCCCAGCCUUCAGGAGGCUGAAGCAGGAGGAUCACUUGAGUUCAAGGCCAGCCGGGAUCACACAGCAAGACCUUCUCUCAAAGGAAAAAUGCAAAAAAAAAAAAAGAGACCCAUCCUAAUGGCAUUCUCACCCCUGGAAGGCCCCCUGUGACCCCUGGGAGCCAUCCUAACAGAGCAUGCAGGCCAAAUGUCACAGGCACUUGGCAAGCCCUGGUCCACUGGAGGCCAAAGCCCAGGCCAGCAGCGCCACUGCAUCCACACCCACCCAGCAGGGCCAGGGUCUUCGAGCCCUUUCCUGGGUGGAGGACAGAGAGGCGCUAGCAGGGGAGGAAUAGAAUGCAGACCUGGGGCUCCUGGUGGGGCAGGGCGCAGAGGAGGAGGGAGCCCACCCCAGGUCUUGGCCGUGCUGGGUGCCAGGGCACGCUCCCAAAGGGGUCUGAGGGCUGAGGGGAGGGUGUGUCACAGGUGCCAACUCCAGGCAGGCGAGCGCCUGUGGCUGUGGAAAUGGGCUGUGGUGGUUACGUGUGUCACUGUCCCUCCUCUGUAGGAAGAGCUCACAGCCUGCUGUGGUGCCCGCUGCCUUCCACGCGCACAGUGACGGGGACUUCCUGAGAAUCUGGCGCCGGGCACGGGGCCUCAUGCAACACCAAGGUGACAUCAGUGUGGGAGACGUCCCCGUCCAGUCUUGGGGUGGCGGGUGGGCCUUCCCCACACCCGUUCCCAGCCCUUCCCCUCCGUGCGCAGGCCACCCCAGUGUCUGGGCCGGGGAGGGGGAGGAGGUGGAAAUGUUUUUCUUCUUCAACUGGAAAAACAACAGUGGGCGAGCUGGCCCGCGCCCUGUCCCCUUCCCGCCUUCCGCCCGCCGGCCCGCCGUUUCCCUGCAGGAAGCACUUCUGACAUGCGGUUCCUCCCUGCGCCUCAUGGGCAGGAAGGUGCUGAAGACAGUGCCAGGACCCGGCCAGCGGCUCCCUACUCACCUGGCCCUGCCCUUCGCCAUGGCUCUGAGCCCUGGCAGUGAGCGAGGUGGCACCUGUCCGCGACCCCCCGUGUCUGUGAUCUGGGGGGAUGCCUGAAGUCACGGCGCACACUCAUCACAGACGCUCCCCAUGGGCCCCAGCUCCGCGGAGAGCCGGGUUCCUCCUCCCAUGUCCUGGGCACCCCAGGUGCCAGAGCACCCUCCUGCCACCCCUGGGGUGCAGGAAAUGGUUCUCAUUCCUGGGUGCAAGCGGUGCCCUCUGACACUCGUGUCCUUGCCCUCUGUGGCUGGGGGACACACGCCCACGGCGGGCGCCUGGCCUCAGCCCCAGCCUUUGUGCUCUGUGCGGGGACAAUGGGCGGCAUUCUCAGACACCCCGUCAUGGGCCGCUGUGCUGGGCCACAGCUCCACACUGAGGCCUCUGUCCAGCGCCACCGAGAGGGCUCCCGGCUCCACCCACGGCCCAGCCCUGAGACAGGACACAGGACAGGAGGGAGGCCUGGGGUGUAUGGUCCUACUGUGUGCGCCACUUCCCGGCCAGGCUUUGUGAGAGAGCCAGGGCCACUGGCUGCUGGACGGGUAAACUGAGUCCUGGCCAGGUGGCACAGAGGCUGCAGACAGAAUAAAUGAAGGCAGCUGAGGCGCCUCGGCCCUUCUGGAGGCACCCAGGCCUGAGUGCCUGGCACACGUGAGUUUAUUUAAACCUGCAGUAGCCCUCCCAUGGUGACCUGAUCCCCCCAUUUAUGAGCGGGGUUGGGGGGAUGCUGGGGGGGCGUGAUUUGCCCAUACCCACCAGCUGGAGGUGGCAGAGCCCUGCUUUCCUUUGCCGCACCUGGGAGGGGACCCAGGGCCUGGCACUUGCUGGUAGGCGCUGACCCAGAAGGGUAUCUGAGCCCUGGCCAGGCACAUGUUCCCCCACAUGCUCCAUGAGCAUUGGAGAAGCCUUUUCUCCCCUGAUACCCCCAGGCAGCUGUGCAGACAGAGCUGCCGCCCUGUCAGGGCCCCCCUUGGUGACACCAGAAGGACCCACCUGGGCUCUGGGUCUGCAAAGGGAAAGGGAGGGCGAGGGCUGAGUGCUCACAUGGGGCUCCCAUGCAUGGCCAGCAGGGCCCAGGUCUGCCUCAGUCUCCCUGGCCUGCUCCAGACGUGUUUCCUUCUUGUGUGUCUCCUGGGGCCCUGAGUGCUAGCUCUGACCUUGUGUGUCUCCUGGGGCCCUGAGUGCUAGCUCUGACCUUGCGUGGCCCAGCCCUGGUCUGGGAGUGCUCCGUGCUGAGGCGCGCGGCAGCUCAGCCUGGCUUCCCCUGGUGGAGCCCGUCUGCUGAGGAACUUGGAAGUGGUUCCUCAGGGACUUUUGGGUGACAUCACUGCUCCUUACUCAAAAGCGGCCCUGCUGACCGCAGCCAGCUGUCCUGGGAUGAGCCGCCAUCCCCGGCCUGUACUUCCCCGUCCCUACUGAGAAGCUGCACCCAGAGGCCCAGGAGUCCCCCAGUCCUACCCCUGGCUGUGCCCUGGUGUCCCCCAGUCCCAACCCCUCAACCCUGGAUACCCUCACUGCCCUGUGCCCCACCAGGGACAGUGGGUCUUGCAGUGGCUCCUUUGCCAGGUGUGACUCAAGCUGGGCCAUGCAGGGGUUACCUGUGUCCCGUUACCGGCAGGGGCUCGAUUCACCCAGGCUCACCAGGAAAAUGCAUGAUGACGUGCUCUCUGCGCUCCAGGCCCCACCUAUCAUUCCCACUGGCUGGAGAGGGCAUAGGCCUCUGCACGCAGGCUCCCUGCAGGGCAGUAGGUUGCCUGGUGGCAUCUGCUGGUUGUGCCUGCAGUGCCCAGUGCAGGCGGUAGAGAUGGGCACCUCUGCCUGGCACAUGGCAGGGGCCAGGCCUAUUGGCUCAGCUGGGGAAACCCGUCCAUCUGGAUAGAAGCUGCCAGCAUGUGCGGAGUGGCCACCUGGACAAAAGGGACUGUGGCUUGGGCUGAGGUGAAAGUUCCCUGCACCCCGGGCCUAGCCCAAAUGGCUGUGUCCCCUGGGCAAGCAGCAGAGCCAGAGCUCCAGCCGGUAUGUCCUGGUUUCUCGAAUCCUCAGGUCCCCACCACCCAGGAGCCCGGACAUCCUGUCCCUUCCCCCAUCUGUCGUCCCUCCAGCCAGAUGCCACUUCCCGAGGGGCCUUUCCUGUCCACUUUCUGCAAGCUCAGCCCCUGGAGCCAGCUUGGGUAAAACGGGAGAUGCUCCCUCAUCAGCUCUGUGUGCCUUGCAGUCUGGGAGCGCCGUGCAGCCCCUGCCUGGGGGCAAUAUCUGCAGUGUGAUCUGUGAUCGAUGUCUGUGGAGGGCACAAGGCGCCCUGCCAGGCCCUCCACGCCCGCGCCCUGCCCCGCGAGGUGAUGGUGGGGGUGGCCAUGAGCGGCUCCCGAGCCUGCCCAGCCUCCCCCAGCACCAGCAGGAAGCGGUGCUCGCGAGGGGUGGUGGAGGUGACACCGCUGCAGGAAGGAGGCCAGGGUGGGGUGGGGACAGAGGCGGUGAGGGCAGCAUCGUCGUCCUCCCCACUUGGGACCUGCAGUGGUCACCGUCACCCCCAUGAGCAGAGGGGCGCUUGGGCCCACCACAGAGGCCAGGGCCAGCCCGGGUCACAGGGAUUCCACAACUGCUGGGGCCAUGAGCAGGUGCGCAAGUGUGGGUGGUGACUGGCAGCUGCAGGGUCCGGAUGUCACCCUCGGGCCCAAACCCCUGCCCCACUGGCCAGGUGGAGCUCCCGGGAGGGGCGGGGCUGUUCUCCCACAGCCUGGGGUGGCUGGGUGGGCGGGGUGUACCCAGCCGGUCUGCACUGUGGGUGCGGGGGGGGGGGCAGAUGGUGUGGGCGCUUCUGCUUCCCAUGGGCUGGGCUGCACCUCCCCCGCAGCCUCACUUCCCCCUGUCUUGGCAGGGCACCACCUCCAGGGAUGUGAGGCACAUUCAGGAGAGGCAGUGGAACCCCCAGACACAUGACCCCUGGAUGGGGGUGGGCUUUGUAUGAAUUUUCUAGGUUUCCAAGAAUUAUUUGUGUUAAAAAUAAAUGGGAGCUCCGUGUGAUGGUGCACCCCUGUGAUCCCAGGACUUGGAGGCUGAGGCAAGAGGAUCACUAUGAGUUCAAGGCCAGACUGGGCUAAAACAUGAGGCCGUAUCUCAGAAAAUAAACUUGGAGGAGAAGCUA